rnacentral:rRNA from 1 species
UCCGUAGGUGAACCUGCGGAAGGAUCAUUACUGUGAUUUACUACUACACUGCGUGAGCGGAACGAAAMCAACAACACCUAAAAUGUGGAAUAUAGCAUAUAGUCGACAAGAGAAAUCUACGAAAAAACAAACAAAACUUUCAACAACGGAUCUCUUGGUUCUCGCAUCGAUGAAGAGCGCAGCGAAAUGCGAUACCUAGUGUGAAUUGCAGCCAUCGUGAAUCAUCGAGUUCUUGAACGCACAUUGCGCCCCUCGGCAUUCCGGGGGGCAUGCCUGUUUGAGCGUCGUUUCCAUCUUGCGCGUGCGCAGAGUUGGGGGAGCGGAGCGGACGACGUGUAAAGAGCGUCGGAGCUGCGACUCGCCUGAAAGGGAGCGAAGCUGGCCGAGCGAACUAGACUUUUUUUCAGGGACGCUUGGCGGCCGAGAGCGAGUGUUGCGAGACAACAAAAAGCU